CGGACCCCUGCAAGCUGGAGCCCUCAGUCUGGAGGCCACAGACUUUGCAUUCAGAUCACCUGGGGGACAUUUAAAAAUACAGAUGCCCAGGCUGCCCACAGUGCUUGAGCCCAGGCAUCAGUAGUGUUUAAAGUUCCCAGGUGAUGGUAAUGUUCAGCCAGGACUGGGGGAGUAGCUUCCCGUCAUCUCUUUCUUCUCGAAUCUACUUUUAACCCCUGGGCUCAAAAACGGACACACCUGCCAGGGCCAAGAAGGAACUUAUUCAGUCUCUGAAGAACGGAUUGGAGAAAGACCAGUGAGGCCUGUGAAAAGGCUCAUCCAGUGUCCAAGCCAGAGAUGGUGGCAGCUGGACCGCUGAGAGCACAGAGGGAGAAACAGACGGCUCUGAAGGCAGCCAACAGGACCCGAGGAGGAUUCGACAAUGAGAAGGCUUUGUGCUGAGAGUAGGGGACCCCGAAUGAAUGACUACCGUCCUGCAGAAUACUGCUCACAGCCCAGCAGGGCAAUCAGCCAUGGAAAUGAGCAGUGCUGUAUGAUGUGGUAGGUGCAAGAGGAGAAGAACAGAUACAGGUCUACAUUUCCAGAUGCGAAUGCCAGGACUCACAGUUGUACAAAUACAGCCUCACCCAUGCGGACAUGAUCAGGGAUGUGGAGACUUUGUGAGACCGAGUAUGGCCAGUGAUGAGGAUGUUUACAGACAAGGCUAUGGCUAGAACCG
rnacentral:lncRNA from 1 species